UAAAAUUAAACUAAGGGCAGAUGGUGGAUGCCUUGACUGGUAGAGGCGAUGAAGGACGUACUAGGCUGCGAUAAGCCAUGGUGAGCUGCCAAGAAGCUUUGACCCAUGGAUUUCCGAAUGGGGCAACCCGGCAUAUCGAGAGGUAUGUCACCCUGCGGGGAGCGCGUAUAUAAAAACUAAUUACAGAUUAUUCGAGUAGGUCGGGACACGAGAAACCCUGACUGAAUAUGGGGGGACCACCCUCCAAGGCUAAAUACUACUACCAGAUCGAUAGUGAACAAGUACCGUGAGGGAAAGGUGAAAAGAACCGCGGCAAGCGGAGUGAAAUAGAACCUGAAACCAUCUGCCUACAAUCAUUCAGAGCCCCAUGGAGCAAUCCGGGGUGAUGGACUGCCUUUUGCAUAAUGAGCCUGCGAGUUGUGGUGACUAGCGAGGUUAAGGAUACCCGAAGCCGUAGCGAAAGCGAGUCUUAAUAGGGCGUUUAGUUAGUUGCUGCAGACCCGAAACUAAGUGAUCUAUCCAUGGUCAGGUUGAAGCUGGUGUAAGAGCUAGUGGAGGACCGAACCGAUUGGCGUUUAAAAGCCACCGGAUGAACUGUGGAUAGGGGUGAAAGGCCAAUCAAACUUAGUGAUAGCUGGUUCUCUCCGAAAUAUAUUUAGGUAUAGCGUCAUGUUAGAAGUAUAAGGGGGUAGAGCACUGAUUGGGCUAGGGCGUAUACCAAUGUACCAAACCCAGUCAAACUCCGAAUACCUUAUAUGAAUUCAUGGCAGUCAGGCAUAGGGUGAUAAAAUCCUAGGUCAAAAGGGAAACAGCCCAGACUACCGACUAAGGUCCCCAAGUUCUAUUUAAGUGGAAAAGGAUGUGGAGUUGCUUAGACAACCAGGAGGUUGGCUUAGAAG
rnacentral:rRNA from 1 species